CCUGCGGUGAUGAGCCUUUAACAUGUAAGAAGAAUCCCAAGUUGGAUUUCUUCUAUGAAAUAUGCUUGUUACGCUUGGCUUCUGAGCUUU